AUUAUUAGAAUUAUUAGUUUUGUAAUUUUACUAACUAUUGUUAUUCAUUUUGGUUAUUAGUAAUCGGGUUAUUAUUCAAUUAAGGGUAUUGGGUUUAAUUAAUUAUUUAGAAUUAUUUUUAUUAAUAUUAGGAUUAUUAGAUUUAGUUAUUAGUUAUUUAGGUAAUAAGCCCAUUAGGUGUAGAAAACCCUGAUUCAACUAAUAUAAAUAGACAAUUUUCAUACGUAUUAGGAGAGGCCAACUCCAUUCACAAAACCCUACUUUCAGCCUUUCAUUCUCACGCACAUAAUUUCUUAGUUUUGUACAUACAACUAACGAAUCCUAACUAACCUAUUGAUUUUCUCUAUUCAUGAUACAUUGUGAAUAAGCUAUAGAGAUUAAUUCCACAGUUUUCUACUCUCUCACGUUGAGAAAAGAACAAAGAAGAAGAUCCAUAUCCAACAACAACAACAACUCGGCUUCCGUUUUCAACCCGUUCAGAAUCCAUCCCGGCACCGAUCUAGAUCCGAAGUUUAACGAGGUUUCUGAUCGCACCAACCACGAUCCCAACCAUCUCCGCGAACAGUGCUGCUACCGCUCGCAAAUCUCCACCAUCGAUCACCACACGGCCGCAAUCCGACGCACAUCACGACUUUAAUCGGUUGAGAAAAGAACAAAGAAGAAGAUCCAGAUCCAACAACAACAACAACUCGGCUUCCGUUUUCAACCCGUUCAGAAUCCAUCCCAGCACCGAUCUAGAUCCGAAGUUUAACGAGGUUUCCGAUCGCACCAACCACGAUCCCAACCAUCUCCGCGAACAGUGCUGCUACCGCUCGCAAAUCUCCACCAUCGAUCACCACACGGCCGCAAUCCGACGCACAUCACGGCUUUAAUCGGUAAUUUUUCCAUUGUUGUUUGACUUUGAUGGUUUCAAAUGUGAGCUUUUUUUUUAUAUAUAAUGUUCAUUGCUAUGGUGAGAUUGGUUUUGUUUCAAACUGAGAUUUUUGAGAGGAAGAGAUUUGCCUGUUGCUGUUAUUUCACGUGUGAAGAGAAACAAGUCUCACUGGUGUUAAGACCAUAUAUUUUGUUAAUUUCAUUUUUUUUGUUUUAUUCAACACCACGUGUCACCACCGUAGUGGUUUAUAGGGUUAGAUUUAGUUAAGAGGAAGAUGGGAGGACCGAAUCAUGUUGCUGUAUCUAUACUUAUUCACCAUUUUUUUAUUUUUGUUUUAAAAAAAAACUAUCAAUUAUUUAAUUAAUUAUUCAAAUAGGGUUAGGAUAAUUAAAUUAGGAUUAGGGCUAUAUUAGGUUUUAGGAUUUAUUUUCCGAUUAUUCCGAUUACUCGAUUUAAUUUAGUUUAAUCAUUUUUAAUUAUAAAAUCACAAAAAAUCUAGGAAGAUUAUCAAUGCAUUAGGGUUUGCCCAAUCCCAAUACCAUUUGGCAAAGAAAACAUUAACAUUAAUUCUCUCCUCGACCCGACUAAAGCUAUUAGUCGCAUUAGACGAGAGAUAAACAAAUAUAUAAUUUAAAAUACAGUUAAUUUGCUGCCCACGAUGAUUGAAUUUAUCGAUCUGAGUAACCAGCAAUGCCCCAUUAAUCCGUUAACUAUAAUGAUCAAACCUAUUGAUCACUGCAACUAACGGUGCCAUAUCAAAUCAGGGUUGUACGCCCAAAACAUCUAAAAAAACACUAAACCACGAUACUACGGAUUUUCAUCCUUUUCCAUCAGGCAAUUCAAAAUGCCUUUCAAAUCUCAACUUCCAAAACUACGACAGGCCAUUCAAAAAGCCUUCAAACCUCAAUUCAAAUUCAAAGGCGUACAACCCUGUGCCCGAACUACGUUGACUCUGAUUCUCCCUAAGGAGAUACGUAGGCACUUGGAUAACCAAGGCGAGUCCCCCUCCCUAAAAUCUCAAAUUUUCCCCUAUUCAAUUCCUCAGCUAUUAACCUUAACUUUUAACCAUAAAACUUGACCCUUAGACUCAAAGCCAAUAGGAAAGGGUUGAGGGUGCCUAACACCUUCCCUCAACCUGAUUAUAAUAACUUACCCAGAUCUUUAUACUGCGUAGGGUUUCCUAUUCGCCCUUCAGAAUAGGUGGCGACUCUAAACCUUUUAAAUUUUUAGGCAGGUUGCUACACUGUAAUCAAAGAGAACUAAAGAAAAUAUUAGAAAAAUAUGUGCAGGAGGCAGGGAUCGAACCCAUGCCCCUGUGUACUAUGACCUUAAGACACUCCCUCUUGCCACCAAGCCACUUUCGAUUCGCUGUUAACAUAACAAACCCUAAACAAAAUAUUUAAAACAAAAACAGCUCAAAUUUCAAAACUGGAUUCGCGCGCCCUGCAUGUCUCCUUCUUCCUUGUUGGGCCUGGUUUUUGGCUACGAACCAGCUACGGUUCUGCUACGAUAAUGGUUGUAGCUAACACACCUGCAACUCUCAAAAUCAACAAUAUGCAAUAGAAAUUCCAGGGAAUGUCAUGGUUCGAUUGGAAUUUGUGUUUCGUUUUCAAUGGUGCCAUCGAUUCGGCCCAAUUUUGCCUAGAACAUGGGAUCCCAAUUGGAGUUUUCCAAACCCUAACAAUGGAAUCAUGGUAUUCAUGCAUCAAAACUUAAAUCAAUCUGCCCAGAAAGCUUGCACACAUCAUUCUAAUCAUGAAAAUACAAUCAAAAUAUUGUCAUAUCCCAAAAUUUGCCCACCAUAUUUUCAUGCUAAAGCUCAUUUGAAUAUCAAAGUCUCAAUACUUGAUUGAAUAUACACUAUCCUAAACAACAUCUCUCCGACUAGGGUUUUGCCUUUCUCAAAGAAAAGUCAGGUUCUUAUACCUCAAGAAGAUCCCAUGGCCUAUCAUAUGAUCCAAAGAAUCCCUAUGCCAGUUUUCAAGCCCUAACUCCCAAGAUUGCACAGUCAACUGCUUAAAAGAUCAACAGUCGACCAAUUUGACCUAAAAGUCAAUUGUGGUCAAAGUACAGUCAAAACUCCUGAUUUUUUGUCAACAUCCUCAUUUUAAAGUAUCAUUCAUCAUUUGAUCAAGGGUUGAUCAUGAUUCAUCAAGAAAAGCUCCAAAAUCAUCAAAAACCUAAGUUUCUAAAUUAGGGUUUUUAAGGAGAAAGUCAACCCAACUUUGACCAGCCAUAACUUUCACAUGGAACAUCAAAAAUUUUCCAUCCAAAGCUCAAUUUGAAGGAAAUUGAAUUCUUUACAAAUUUGUAUCUCACAAGCCAAGGCAAAAAAUGCAUCAUUUAAGAGAUAUGGGUCAAAAGAUUAGAGGUCCUCCAAGAAGUCAACAAAAACACCUUUUGGGUCAAAGCUCAUAACUUGCAAAUGGAAAAAUCAAUUGAGAUGAAACCAAAAGGGUAAAUUAGAGGACAUCUUGGGAUUUCUAAAAAUCCUAGAACAUGGUCAUAUGAUAAGAAUUGAAGGAGAUACGAGGUUCAGAAGUUGGUCGAAUUUCAAGAAAUACACUAAACCUUAAUUGACCAAUCUUGGACUUAUAAGUUAAUAGGUCUAGGUUUUGGACUUCAAACAUGAUUAUGACUUCACAUAGGACCCAUAAAUUUAUUCUCAUGUUUUUGUGACUAUUAUUUAAUUUAUUUAGAUUUUUAUUCCAUAAAAAAUCAAAUUAAUUAAGUAAAAACACAAGAAUUAUGAAACAAAUUAAGGAGGUUUAUUUUCAAAUCAUAUGGAGGCUCAAAUAAUAUCACAAUAAGGUCCAAAUUUCGUUUGCAUGGGCAUGGAAAGAAAUUAUCCAAAUUUAGAAAGAAAAUACAUGGUUUUUUUUUUUAUGAAAUUUUCUUUCUCUUCAUAACCUAAGGUCCAAGCCCACAAGUUGCCCUAAUACAAUCAUAUAUAUAUGCCUAACACGUUCAGACUAGGGGAGGACGAAAAUUGAAGGAGAAAAAUAAGGGUUUCUAAAAGUUCCAACUUUGAUAAAGAAGGAGCCUAUUUUCGGGUGCUCCAACAAAACAAUUUCAGAGCCUCCAGUUCGUUCCAUUCUCCUCUUUAGGUAUCAAAAUACUGGUAUGGAUCAUCAUAUUUAUUUAAAAUAGCUUGAAAUCCAUGCAUCGCAUCUUUCAUGAUUCAUAUAUAUGUGACUUUCGUUUUUUACUAUUUGCCAUGAUUUAAUGAGAACUAACCAUGCUGAUGAAGUAUUGGGCAUGUAUAGAACAGAUUCAACGUAUAACAUGGAAGGUUUGAGCCUUAAAUCGUUACCUGCCAUUGCUAGGGCAUAAGUGAUGAAAGCUUUCGUUUUUGAGGAUGCAAGGUGUCUUCGACCAAAACAAUGACGUAUUUGAACUCAGGGCCUGUCUUUGUGUGGAUCUGGGUUGAUAGUCUAUGUUGUUUCGUUGUGUUUUUAGUGUUUCCAAUUUGCAGGUUGAAGAUGAGAAAAUACGAAGGAAAUUCCGCAGGAAAUUCCAUAGAAGAAUCCGCUGGAAUUUCCGCAGGUAAGAGGAAGAAGACAAUGAACAGUUGUCUUGGACUUUUGACCACGCGUGGGGACUCGUGAGUGGGUGGUCAGCAUGUCAAUUAUCUCCCUUCAAUCUGAUUGGCCGGUCAAUCAAUCUAUGGGGCCACGCGCGCAGGUGUUGACUUCCAUAGACUUAUUAUUUUAUUAAGUUUUUGCUUCACUUUAAUUUCAACAAAUGCAGAUGGUUCAGUUGGCCAGCACAUGGGUUUGGAUAGUAUGCAAACCUGGGUUCGAACCUAGGGUUUGCAACUAUUUUAUUUGCAUUUUCUUGAUCACAGAUUCGAUGCUGCGCGCCUAGGAGUGACUACGAUGCAUCCCCAGACACGCCACCAUCAGAUCUUCAUCAAAUCCAGAUCUGAAGGCCUAGAAGAUAGUCCCCACCAUGGACCAUCAAGCUUCCUCCACACUGAAUCCCAGCUAAGUAUUUUUUAAUUUUUAUUUUUAAUUACAUAAACAAUUUCAUGUUCCUUUUCUUUCUUUAUUUUUAUUAUAACUCUUUUUAUUUAUAUUUUUUAUUUUAAUAAAUUAUUUUUAUAGUAAAAUUAUAACUAUUGAUUAUUUAAUCGAAAACCCGAAUUUUCUUAUUAUAUUAAAAAUAAUCAUUUUUUUCAAGCUAAUAAUUAUGUUAGGGUAAUAAUUUAAUUUUGGGCUAAUAAAUUUUAUGCCUUAAACCCUGAUUUUAUCAUGAUCACUAAUCACUGUUAUUGGUAGGUGUUGUCCAUUAACCCUAGUCUAUGUUUUUUUACCUGUUUCUUCUGUUAACCAUAAUUAAUUUCUGUCCCUUUCGGGGUUUGCCUUUUGCCACGCCCUUUUUAUUUAUUUGCUUAAAUUAUUACCAUUUUAAUUUUUGAUCUGUUACAUUAUAACUGUUGAGAUCUUUAAUGCACUAACAUUCCUCUUCUUUGUGCCCAAUUUUCAGGGUUAAUCAGAGAUCUUUCAGCCACACGCCCCGCCAUACCAAAAAAGCUAAGUUUCUAUUUAACAUCAUUUUAUUUUUAUUUUGCCUUUUGAAUUAAAAUAGGGUUUGCCUCCAUAGUUAAUGAACCUGUAAUACACUAAUCUUUAUUUAUUUUCCUUUUAAUUUUCAGAGUCGAUUGAGAGUUCGAGAAAGAUCAAGGCGUUCAAGGGUUUAUAUUAAUUAUUCAUCCCUCUUAUUUUUGCUUUUAAUUUCCCCCAUCCCCGCAGGUGUUUAUUGUAAUAGCGUAGGACUUAUUUUUCUGCCUUUAAUUUCUGCAUUUUUAAACUCUGUGGUUAGCAAAAUAGGGAGUGCAACCAUGAAUUGAACAUAGAUCACUAAUUUACAAGAUAAAUAUCAUCGAAAUUAACCACGUGAUUGUGCACCCACACACCUUUAGGGUAACCCUUCUUGUUGCCUGUUGCCUUAUCACUUGCUGCCUUGUUGCCUUAAUUUUGAUGCCUAAAAAUAGUCAAGUCCCUCGGUUCCGAGGAUACCUAAAGCAAGGUUGCCUAAAGAGAUUAAAAAUCAUCUAGUCCCUCGAAGUUGCCUCGGUAAAGCAUGAUGAUUGUCCCAAUUGCUAAGGUAUCCUUGCAUGAUGCCUUAAAAGACUAUUCUAUCCUUCCCUUAGACUACCUGCCUUCUUUAUGGCAAGGGACAGUCUUAUGGCGAACGAUAACUCGAUGACCCUUCAAAUAUCCAAUAGAAAGACUUCCUGCCCUCUCAUGGUAUGGAUAGAUCCUUUCACCCGAAAGACUAAAAGAACAAAUUUCUAAACUUAGGGUAGUUGCUAUUAAUUGCUUGCUCUUUUUCAAAUUCAAAUUCAAAAUCUUUUUCCCACUUCUUUUCAAAGAAACUUUUCAAAAAGACUACGCUUAUUUACAAGCUAAAGUUCUUAUUCGAAUUUCUAUUCACACCCUACUUUUCAAACAAUUCAAACAUUUUGAAAACAAAGUGAGCUAAGCAAUUAAGAGCAAAUGGUAAGUCCCUUUGAGAUAACGAAUGGCAGCCUUCUUCAAGAAGACAGUUCGUUUUGCUUAAAGAUUCCUCAGCAAAGUCAGCAAAUGGUAAGUCCCUUCAUCAGAAGUGACAGUUUGCAUCCAGUUCCUUUUCUCAAGCCAUGUCCUUGAAGAAGUUGAUCCCUAUUCUUAGCGGCAACUUAUUGUUCUCAGCAGCUUAUCG